GUUAGUAAGUUUUCUGUUAUAUUCAACUAAAUUCAUGCUACUAUACCUGUCUUUCCAUCUUUUGUUUUCCUUAUAGCACUUUGCACAGGGCCAGGUUAUUAAUACAUGUUGAGUUGGAAACUCCCUUGCCUUACAAUAUCUCUGCACAAACUCUCACAUGCACAUUCCCAUUUCACUCCACCACACAACCAAUUUUCCUUCCCACUUACUUGAUUCCCAGUAUUAAGACGAUUUGUGUUUUUCCUCCUUCCCCUGCUGAUGUAUUAUUUUUCAACCAUUCAAAUAUGAAAGCAGCUUACUGGGAUAGAAUGCCAACCCCAAUUUAUUCAUGGUGUUCAUUGUAAAAUUAUGACUUCACAGGGACCUAGCCACACCCUUUUUAGGAGCCAAGCUUUCCCUGCUAAUAUGCAGGAAGCCCACCAUGCUUGCUGAGCUGUGAAAAUCCAGAUGGUAGGAAGCAGGUAACAGAAGGAAUCAAACCAUUAAGCACUGAAGAUAUAGACUCAACACUGGCCACAACCUCAAAUAUACCUCCUGCUUCUUCAAUUGAACUUGAAUCAACAGUAAAAUGUACUAGACACCAUUUUGGGGAAGCUUUGGGGUAAUACAACCUUUGAAACUUGCAGUGCUGUAGCAGGAAAAUUUUCAGACAGCAUCUGGCCACCAAAUGGAUUGAUUACCUUGUCUGCAAAAGUCUUUCAAACAUCUGGGGCCUGAUUUUGUGAAACAUCCAGAGGCUUUUCAAAGGUAAGAAAACCCACA